rnacentral:rRNA from 1 species
CUUGGUCAUUUAGAGGAAGUAAAAGUCGUAACAAGGUUUCCGUAGGUGAACCUGCGGAAGGAUCAUUAUCGAAAUUGGAGAAAGGGGGGGGGAAGAUGGGGAAGGGUAGACUGUCGCUGGCUUCAGAGCGAUCUGGAGCAUGUGCACGUCUCUCUUUUCGUCNACCCUCUCUAACACACACACACACCUGUGCACCCUUUGUAGGUCCUCGAGAGAGGGUCUAUGUUUUCUACAUCACACCUAAUGUAUGGCUACAGAAUGUAUCUAGACUGUCGCUCGACCCUGGUCGGGUGGUGGUCGAAUAAAUAAAUACAACCUUCAGCAACGGAUCUCUUGGCUCUCGCAUCGAUGAAGAACGCAGCGAAUUGCGAUAAGUAAUGUGAAUUGCAGAUUUUCAGUGAAUCAUCGAAUCUUUGAACGCACCUUGCGCUCCUUGGUAUUCCGAGGAGCAUGCCUGUUUGAGUGUCAUUCGAAUUCUCAACCAUGUCUUGUAGUGAGGCUUGGCUUGGAGUUGGGGGUUGCUGGCGGCGAAGGUCGUCGGCUCUCCUGAAAAGUAUUANCAAAGGGCANCAAGUCUCUGACGUGGCACGGCCUCUUCGACGUGAUAGCGAUCGUCGUGGGCUGGAAGCGUUGGGGACUGCAUGGAUUGUCUUGUUUGCUUCCAAUAUAUCCCCUCACAUCAAGACUUUGAGACUCGAGCGAAGGUUGGCUUAGCUAUUAGUUUGGUCGUGAGGCCAUCGAACGCGGUCCGCUGGGUUUCGAGCUCUCAGGGACUCGAGCGAAAGGUUGGCUUAKCUAUUAGUCGGUCGUGAGGCCGGGCGAACGCGGUCGGGCUGGGUUUCGAGUUCGGGGACUCGAGGAAAGGGUCGGCUUAGCUAUUAGUUGGUCGCGAGGCCAGCGAACGCGGUCGGGCUGGAUUUCGAGUUCCAGGUCUCGUUCUUUUGACACCUUGACCUCAAAUCAGGUAGGGCUACCCGCUGAACUUAAGCAUAUCAAUAAGCGGAGGAAAAGAAACUAACAAGGAUUCCCCUAGUAACUGCGAGUGAAGCGGGAAGAGCUCAAAUUUUGAAUCUGGCGGUCGUUUCGGCCGUCCGAGUUGUAAUCUAGAGAAGCGUCUUCCGCGCUGGCCCGUGUACAAGUCUCCUGGAAGGGAGCGUCAUAGAGGGUGAGAAUCCCGUCUUUGACACGGACUACCAGUGCUAUGUGAUGCGCUCUCGACGAGUCGAGUUGUUUGGGAAUGCAGCUCAAAACGGGUGGUAAACUCCAUCUAAAGCUAAAUACAGGCGAGAGACCGAUAGCGAACAAGUACCGUGAGGGAAAGAUGAAAAGAACUUUGGAAAGAGAGUUAAACAGUACGUGAAAUUGCUGAAAGGGAAACGCUUGAAGU